rnacentral:rRNA from 1 species
AGAUUGAACGCUGGCGGCAGGCCUAACACAUGCAAGUCGAGCGGUAGAGAGGUGCUUGCACCUCUUGAGAGCGGCGGACGGGUGAGUAAUGCCUAGGAAUCUGCCUAGUGGUGGGGGAUAACGUUCGGAAACGGACGCUAAUACCGCAUACGUCCUACGGGAGAAAGCGGGGGACCUUCGGGCCUCGCGCCAUUAGAUGAGCCUAGGUCGGAUUAGCUAGUUGGUGAGGUAUGGCUCACCAAGGCGACGAUCCGUAACUGGUCUGAGAGGAUGAUCAGCCACACUGGAACUGAG